rnacentral:rRNA from 1 species
UACGUAGGGGGCAAGCGUUGUCCGGAAUCAUUGGGCGUAAAGAGCGUGCAGGCGGCCAGAAAAGUCCGCUGUGAAAACUCGAGGCUCAACUUCGAGCUGUCGGUGGAAACUUUCUGGCUAGAGUCCGGAAGAGGAGAAUGGAAUUCCUGGUGUAGCGGUGAAAUGCGCAGAUAUCAGGAAGAACACCCGUGGCGAAGGCGGUUCUCUGGGACGGUACUGACGCUGAGACGCGAAAGCGUGGGGAGCGAACAGG